GCGGGAAUAGCUCAGUGGUAGAGCACUAGCUUCCCAAGCUGGGUGUCGCGGGUUCGAUACCCGUUUCCCGCUCCA
rnacentral:tRNA from 4 species